UUUCCGUAGGUGAACCUGCGGAAGGAUCAUUACUGAGUGAGGGCCCCUCGGGGUCCAACCUCCCACCCGUGUUUAACGAACCUUGUUGCUUCGGCGGGCCCGCCUCACGGCCGCCGGGGGGCAUCUGCCCCCGGGCCCGCGCCCGCCGAAGCCACCUGUGAACGCUGACUGAAGUAUGCAGUCUGAGACAAUUAUUAAAUUAAUUAAAACUUUCAACAACGGAUCUCUUGGUUCCG
rnacentral:misc_RNA from 1 species